UGCCAAAAGCAAGCAGAGGCAGAACAAAAGCAGGCUUAGACUUUGAUUGUGAGAGUGGAUUAUACAUUGCAACAAAAAAUUACCAUGAUGCCAGGUCAAGUCUGUUGAAAGUCUAGUUCUUGACUUGAAAGGGUCUUGAUCCUGAGACUUGGAAUGAGGAUGCCUGGGAAGAAACUGAGGGGCUAGGUCGGUCUGGGAUAUUUUGAUUCCUUUGAUCCCAUUUGCUCUUUUCCAGUUCAUCUACUGCUCUAUGAUACCACCCUGCCACCUGAAUUUGAAAACAGAUGAAGCUAAGCAGAAUCCAAACAAUGUAAAAAUGGGAUGAGAAAAAUCAUACCAUAAAUGAAGUCCUCAAGGCAAAAGAUGCUGCCUCGAAGACCUGCUGCUGGUCUAGUUUUGAACACCAUGCCAGUAUGACAGACCUUUCCUGCUGAUGUCUCAAGUUGUCUUAGACUGGAAAAUGAUGUCAUCCUAACUUUUUGCUGGUUCUGCAACUCCAGCAUUUGAGGCAUUAUUUCAUAUUGUUUGGAGGGGAAUUUGGGAGAAUUCUAAUGAGUUUCUUGCUCUAAUGAACCAUCUUUGUUCUGACCUCCUCAGACUGAAAACUUAAUAAUAGGUAUUAAUAUGAAAUGGAUGCAGAACAAGCAAAGGUCAGAAUUAGUUUAUUGAGGAUAAUUGGAAUGCUACAGCUUCUGAAGAAUUGAAGUUGAGGAUUUCCCAAAGAACAAUGACUCCUCAAAAUCCCAGUCUUCUAUAACUAGCUGCCUUUUGAAGAAUUCCAACUGGAUAUUCUAUAGACAGCUCAAACUCAAAAUGUCCCUAACAUGCAAUCUAAUAAACAUUUAUUACAUGCUUUCUUUGUAUCAGGCAUAUGCUUAGCUCUUAAUAAAAAGAUCAU
rnacentral:lncRNA from 1 species